CCAGACUCCUACGGGAGGCAGCAGUGGGGAAUAUUGGACAAUGGACCAAAAGUCUGAUCCAGCAAUUCUGUGUGCACGAUGACGUUUUUCGGAAUGUAAAGUGCUUUCAGUUGGGAAGAAAAAAAUGACGGUACCAACAGAAGAAGUGACGGCUAAAUACGUGCCAGCAGCCGCGGUAAUACGUAUGUCACAAGCGUUAUCCGGAUUUAUUGGGCGUAAAGCGCGUCUAGGUGGUUAUGUAAGUCUGAUGUGAAAAUGCAGGGCUCAACUCUGUAUUGCGUUGGAAACUGUGUAACUAGAGUACUGGAGAGGUAAGCGGAACUACAAGUGUAGAGGUGAAAUUCGUAGAUAUUUGUAGGAAUGCCGAUGGGGAAGCCAGCUUACUGGACAGAUACUGACGCUAAAGCGCGAAAGCGUGGGUAGCAAACAGGAUUAGAUACCCUGGUAGUCCACGCCGUAAACGAUGAUUACUAGGUGUUGGGGGUCGAACCUCAGCGCCCAAGCAAACGCGAUAAGUAAUCCGCCUGGGGAGUACGUACGCAAGUAUGAAACUCAAAGGAAUUGACGGGGGCCCGCACAAG
rnacentral:rRNA from 1 species